rnacentral:rRNA from 1 species
AUUGAACGCUAGCGGGAUGCCUUACACAUGCAAGUCGAACGGAGUGGCGAACGGGUGAGUAAUGUAUCGGAACGUGCCCAGCAGCGGGGGAUAACUACGCGAAAGCGUAGCUAAUACCACACACUCUUGGAGCGGCCUAUAUAGGAAUAGCUAGUUGGGGGGGUAAAGGCUCACCAAGGCGAUGAUCCGUAGCUGGUUUGAGAGGGCGACCAGCCACACUGGGACUGAGACACGGCCCAGACUCCUACGUGAGGCAGCAUUGGGGAAUUUUGGACAAUGGGGGAAACCCUGAUCCAGCCACCCCGCGUGUGCGAUGAAGGCCUUCGGGUUGUAAAGCAAUUUUGGCAGGAAAGCGGUACCUGCAGAGUAAGCACCGGCUAACUACGUGCCAGCCGCCGCGGUAAUUC